rnacentral:rRNA from 1 species
UACGGAGGGUGCAAACGUUGCUCGGAAUCAUUGGGCGUAAAGCGCACGUAGGUGGCCUGUUAAGUCGGGUGUGAAAUCCCUGGGCUCAACCCAGGAAGUGCACUCGAAACUGGCAGGCUUGAGUACUGAAGAGGGUCGCGGAAUUCCCGGUGUAGAGGUGAAAUUCGUAGAUAUCUGGAGGAACACCGGUGGCGAAGGCGGCAUCCUGGACCGACACUGACACUGAGGAGCGAAAGCCAGGGGAGCAAACGGG